rnacentral:lncRNA from 1 species
GGCUGUCACAAGGGUGGGUUUCCUACCCAGAGAUCCUGCUUUCUGGAGGGUUUGGCAAGCUCUGAUCCUUGGGAAAGGGUUCACAUUUUUAAGUGGGCUCAUUACGAACCUUCUGAAGAUAAUUUGCUGGAACUUAGCCCUUUUUUCAAACUACUGUUCAGCCCACAGACAGAAGCUCUGGCCUUUUGGAAAUAAUGGUGAGUCUGGUAUCAGGUGUGAAAACCAAGGGUUAACUUCACGGUUAGAGCAGCCCAAAGAAAACGCACUUCAGUUGGCAC